rnacentral:rRNA from 1 species
GACGAACGCUGGCGGCGUGCUUAACACAUGCAAGUCGAACGGAAAGGCCCUGCUUUUGUGGGGUGCUCGAGUGGCGAACGGGUGAGUAACACGUGAGUAACCUGUCCCUGACUUUGGGAUAACUUCAGGAAACUGGGGCUAAUACCGGAUAGGAGCUCCUGCUGCAUGGUGGGGGUUGGAAAGUUUCGGCGGUUGGGGAUGGACUCGCGGCUUAUCAGCUUGUUGGUGGGGUAGUGGCUUACCAAGGCUUUGACGGGUAGCCGGCCUGAGAGGGUGACCGGCCACAUUGGGACUGAGAUACGGCCCAGACUCCUACGGGAGGCAGCGGUGGGGAAUAUUGCACAAUGGGCGGAAGCCUGAUGCAGCAACGCCGCGUGCGGGAUGACGGCCUUCGGGUUGUAAACCGCUUUCGCCUGUGACGAAGCGUGAGUGACGGUAAUGGGUAAAGAAGCACCGGCUAACUACGUG